UUUUAAAACAAACAGACGCAGUAAUCUGGCGGUCCACGCUAAGUUACGAAGUGCAUGUUUUUUUCUUUUUGUCGCCGACUACAGAGUGACAUAGGUUUUAUCCAAAAAGUUGAAAUACAAAUAGUGUUUAAGUAGGUAUUUGCUUUAUGACGGAUUAUUUCACUAAUUAGAUUUGAUUAGUACAAAAUGUCUGAACACGUUGAUCCUUUCAAAAGCAAACCAUCUGGGUCAAAAUAUAGAAAACGAAAAGCAGAAAAAGAAAAGGAAUUUGAAAAAACAAAAAAGUUUAUGAAUAUAGGCAAAUAUAUUAUCACAACAAAAAAUCAAGACCUUAAUGUGGCAUCUACAUCUGAAAUACAAGCGAAUGCAUCGGUAGUGGAGUCUCUGUCUGACAAGUCAGAUCAGUUAGCUGUUGAAGAGAUUGUGGACGAAGUUUCCCGAAGUGAGGAGACAAGUUGUGUUACAAUUACAGAUGCUGCUCAGGAUGACACUAUUGGUGAUGUACAACAAAUACAAAUUCUAGAUGACGUUAGUUCUCUUGUUCCAAAUAUAUCGGAUCCAGCCACUUGGCCACUCACUCGAAAUAGCAAAAUUAUUGAUCA